ACAACAACUAAGUCUUAAUCCCAACUAGUUAAAAAUCAGCUAUACGGAUCUUUAUUCAACAUUCAACUCUAUUUGUUAAAAAGGUUUGUACUCCAACUCUAAACACAAUCUGGCAUCCAACAAAAAUUGAACCAUAUGACAUUAAAUCUAUGGAUGAUGAGUGUGACUGCUAUGGUGAGAUAACUAUAGUGAAAAGCAUUGAAAGAAACUCAUUGAGUUCUCAAUUUCAAUCUCCAGAUCAAUGAAUAAGUACCAACAACCAACGGGGUAAUAUGGUGAAAAGUGGCAUGUAAAAAAGGAAUUUACCAGGAAAUCAAAGAUUUAUGCAGAAAUUCAAUGAACUUGCAAAAUCAGUGCCUUUUUUUUUUUUUAUCAAAAUCAGGAAGAAAAGUGUUUCUCAACCUGAACCAGGAUAUAUAUAGCAAAAAGAAUGCUAAUAAAAACAUGAAUUAGUGGCCGGAUUGCACUGAUCAUUUCAGGAACAAUAAGGGUAACCGUAAGAUCGUUAAUGAACUUAGAGAUCAAGAUGUGUGUUCUGUAUGCUUUAGUUUUUGUGAUGUUCAUCCGCUGAAAUGUUAAUCCCUAUCCGAGAAAGAUCUUCACGCAGCAUAUUUGCACUUUUAAAAUGAAGGCCAACAAUGCCAACUUCAAUUGCAGCCUUUACAUUUGUCAACCUGUCAUCAACGAAAAUACAACUUGUUGGAUCAACAUUAAGAUGUCUCAGCACUUCCAGAUAGAAAUCAAGAUCAGGCUUCCUCUUUCCAUAUAUACACGAACAAAAUGUCCAGGAUAAGUACGUUGAGAUAUUUAACUUCUCCUCGAUCAUUUUAUACCUAUAAAUCACAAUCUGAAGAGGAUGAUGAGCCAUUUCAGCACGUAAGCGAUAAUAUGAUAAAUCUAUUUCAUCAUACCAGAUGGGAUAAUUUGUAAAAGCAUGCAUCUCAUAGUUAUUUUGUUUUAAAUCAUAAAGCAACUCUGCAACACCAUCUAUGUAGGAAUAUCCUCUCCUCAUACAAUUUUUAAGCCCUGUAAAGACAAAUCAAUGAAGUUAGUGCCUCUGUAAUCAUGGAAGAAAAAGCAAAAGCACUGAAACAUGCUGCUUAUAUAAGCACUUAUUUGAAAUCAUACUAUUAGAAGUUAAAAACAAAGAAAAUUUUAAUUUUUCUCCUAGCCUAAAUGAUAUCACACCAUGACUGCAUAACCACCAUUUGCAGCCUAGAUUGAAGAAGUUGCUAAGUAAUUUAUGAAAUGGGCAUGAAAGUUAACCAAGGGAAAAAAAGGCAUAAUAUAUUUUCCAAAAGGAUAAUAUGCAAUGAGAAAUGCAAAUGGUAUUACAAAAUGAAUAAUUGAAACAUAUUUGGCUAGAAAAUUGUAGAUGGCACAUGUCAAAGUUCCUAUCAUAUGAUAAUAUUUUCUCUGCAAAUAUCCAACAUCUUACAGCACCAUAAACCACAGCAGGUGGUCAACAGGCACAAUAAAUCAUGAAUGACAGCAUAUUUCUGUGAAUAAGAAAAGGGAAAAGAAGAAGAUUAAAUAGGAAAUAAGACAUAAAAUAGGAUUUGGUUUCAUUAUCAUGGUGUCCCAAUUCUUGUGGGGAAGUAAUUUUCUAAAAAUUGAUAUGCUGAACUUUUUACAAGCAUAUGAGACCAUGGGUAACAAAAUCAUAAAUCUGUUUACCAUUGCCCAUGACUCAAUCAGUGGUAAUUAUACUGAAAAAGUGCUAAUCAAGGAGUAGAGACUAGCAUGUUAUGAAACAACAGCUUGAUGAAGUACAUGAAUAUCUACCAACUCUGAAUAUUUAGUUAAAAUCUCAUCAUGUUAGUAUGGUCAGCAUAGCCAGGUAAAAGGAAAAAUGCUAGUCAACAGCAACAAGAUCAACAAAACAUAACAUCUCCUAAUACCAAAUCCUCAACCUUCCAAAUCAAAAGAUGUUCCAUCUUUGAAGAACUUUUUGGACAGCUGCAUCUCAUCAAUCAUCCCCUUUUCAAACUCAAUCCACGCAGUUGGGUGCUUACUUUCUAUCAGUUCCUCAAAAGACAUUCCAAAGAAGGGAGGGACGUCGUGGUAAAAAGGGUCUCGAACAAUGGUGUCCAUGAUAUCAAAAAGCAAUAUGGGUAGCUUUCUAUCAAUAUUCUGGGAGGAUGCGGCGGAGGCUAUGCGACUCUUUUGGCCGCUGAAAGUGGGAUUUACACUCAUUUUUCUGCAACUUGGGAAAGAGAAUCCUGUGGUUACUCUCAGGCUCAGGAGCAUUGCCAUUUGGUUUUCCAUAUCCAAUCAAAUCUUUCAUAUAUAUAUUUGAAAAUUCUUGCCCACGACAGUGUGAGCUGUGAGCUUAUAAAAGUAUAUAUUAUUUUUGUAGAUAAUUUUACAAAAUAUCAUCACGAAACGACACCGUAUGCCUUCUUUAUCGGAAAUUUAAAGUGACAACUUUGGAGGAUAAAUGCCUGCGUUCCCUCUCGUUUGUUUCGUUUUACGCCGCAGCCGCAACACCGCCAUCGCUGCUCUCCAUUACUGUGGCCGACGCCUUCUCUACCGUUGUGGUUCUCCCUCACAUCGCGUUCGUUUACCAUUGCCCUUUUUCAUAACUGUCGCUGUCAUUCACCACUUCGACGCCAUUUCCGUGGUUGUUUUAAUUGAAUUGAAGGAGGCCUAACUGCAUUGUCCACGUCGCUGGUGCUGUUCAGUGUGGUCAACUAUGGCACUGAGAUUGGUGAGCAGGAAGUUGGGUAGCAGAUUUUUCCCUAUGCUUUCUUUCACUUCUCAACUGCAUUCACAUGCCACGAGUUUUGGAUUUAAAGAAGUAAAGGAAGAAGACAAAAGUCAACUGGUGAGCAAUGUCUUCAGUAGUGUUGCCUCAAAUUAUGAUCUUAUGAAUGAUCUGAUGAGUGGUGGAUUGCAUAGACUAUGGAAAGACAGAUUGGUCUCCAAACUAAAUCCAUUCCCUGGAAUGAAACACCUUGAUGUGGCUGGUGGAACAGGGGAUGUUGCUUUCAGGAUCUUAGACACCGUAAAAAGUAUCAAAUAUAGAGCAAUUCGAGAUCCUCUUAAUGAUCAUUUACUGGAAGAAACUCAUAUCUAUGUGUGUGACAUAAACCCAAACAUGUUAAAUGUUGGCAGAAAGCGGGCUAUAGAGAGAGGUUAUGGAGAAGACAAUUCCCUAAUAUGGGUGGAAGGAAAUGCUGAAAAGUUGGGUUUUCAAGAUCAGUCAAUGGAUGGUUACACGAUAGCAUUUGGAAUUAGGAAUGUUACACAUAUAGAGAAAGUUCUUGCUGAAGCAUAUAGGGUAUUGAAGAGAGGAGGAAGAUUUCUUUGCCUUGAACUAAGUCAUGUGGAAGUUCCCGUGUUAAAAGACUUAUAUGACUACUAUUCAUUCUCAGUCAUUCCAGCCCUUGGAGAGCUGGUUGCAGAUGAUCGGGAAUCUUAUCAGUACUUAGUUGAGAGCAUUCGUCGUUUUCCGUCUCAGGUCUUGAUUUGGUCCUUAUACCCUUUCAAAUUUCUGUACAAUGUAGAUGAUGCUUUUUUGCGCCUAAACUGCCGGAUUAUUGCAUUUUAUUUUAUUUGUUGGUGCCUUGUACCAUAACUUGGUUUUAGGCAACUUUGUUUUCACUUUGCUUUCUUAGCCAUAGAAUCAUAAUUUUUUUUCCUUUUCAUGGAGGUUGUGACUUGCAAAGUAAGGUUUAUUUUGUGGAAAACAAAAUUGUGCUAGAAUCUCUCUUAUUCGUCACCAUAAAAUUCAUAGUACGUGUUAUAGCAUCUGGUGUACUUCGAGGAUACAUGCCAGUAACAUAUUCCAAGAAUUCAGAAUUGGAGAUUUUAGUGGUAGUAUAAACAUGGAUUGCUUGCAUGUUCAUUUUUAAUAUUUGAACCUGUAAAGGACAGAAUAGGCACUGCAUGUAAAUGAUUCAGAAGUCUUAUGUAUCAAAUUGAAUCUUCCACCUAUAUUUUAUCUACUUGUUUGUUUAUCAUUUAUCAUGCGUCUUCCACAAAUUUUGUCCUACACACAUUAAUAUGCCCCUUAUUAUUAGAGCCCAAAUAAAAAAUUUUAACCCCUCUCAAAAUCAUACUAAACCUAAUGGCAUCAUGGAUUUAUUGGUCAAUCAGAAAAUUUAAGUACCUCUUACUUCUCAUGCCCAUCUUGAUCUUGUUUAUAUGUUCCUUGCUCAUUUCAUCUGCAUGCUAAUCCACCUGGACAAAGCAGAUGGAGGACUAAGUGAUCACUAGUUAAUGCUUUGGCUCUGCUAUUUCACAUUGCUGUUUGCUAGGGGUGGCCUCCGGGGCAAAAUCAGCAGUUUUGCGUUCAAGGUUCAUAAGGACCAGACUGGACUGCAGGGUUCCUUACGGUUCCGGUUUUGAUCAAAUCCGACAAUUGAAAUUUUCAAAAAUUUUUCUAAAAGAUAAAAUCCGGUUUUUGGCCUGGAAUUGGACCAGCCGUUUUUAGUGAAUCUGGUUUUGACCCUUGGACUGGUCCAGUUUUGAACUGGACCGUAGCUGGGUCUACUGUUUGCACUAGGUAUGUAUGAUGACUGAAAGUUUAAUCGAAAUAAGGCCUUUCACUAGUUUGGGGAACCUUCCUCCCUGAAAGAAGGUAAAAUGGCCUCCAGUGCUUUGAAACCAUAUGCAAUUGGCUGAAUAAACCACCAUAUCUGAAUAAAUUACCUAGCCCUAAAAGAGGGAAAAACACACACAGAGAAAGAGGGCAACAUGAGAAUAGUGGCUAGAGCUAUACCAAUUGCACAAGCUAGUGAAAAAUUGGGUAACUAGGGACUAAUUAC
rnacentral:misc_RNA from 1 species